AGGCUGAGACCUGAUGCCGAGCCGAUUGUGGUGAAGUGGAUGAUCCUAUGCUGUCGAGAAAAGCCUCUAGCGAGUUUCAUGGCGGCCCGUACCCUAAACCGACUCAGGUGGUCAGGUAGAGAAUACCGAGGCGUUCGGGUGAACUAUGGUUAAGGAACUCGGCAAAAUGCCCCCGUAACUUCGGGAGAAGGGGGGCCAUCACCGGUGAUAGCACUUGCUGCUUGAGCUGGGGGUGGCCGCAGAGACCAGCGAGAAGCGACUGUUUACUAAAAACACAGGUCCGUGCGAAGCCGUAAGGCGAUGUAUACGGACUGACGCCUGCCCGGUGCUGGAACGUUAAGGGGACCGGUUAGUCACUCUUCGGGGUGGCGAAGCUGAGAACUUAAGCGCCAGUAAACGGCGGUGGUAACUAUAACCAUCCUAAGGUAGCGAAAUUCCUUGUCGGGUAAGUUCCGACCUGCACGAAUGGCGUAACGACUUCUCGACUGUCUCAACCAUAGGCCCGGUGAAAUUGCACUACGAGUAAAGAUGCUCGUUUCGCGCAGCAGGACGGAAAGACCCCGGGACCUUUACUACAGUUUGAUAUUGGUGUUCGGUUCGGCUUGUGUAGGAUAGCUGGGAGACUGUGAAGCUCGGACGCCAGUUCGGGUGGAGUCGUCGUUGAAAUACCAGUCUGGUCGUGCUGGAUGUCUAACCUGGGUCCGUGAUCCGGAUCAGGGACAGUGUCUGAUGGGUAGUUUAACUGGGGCGGUUGCCUCCCAAAGGGUAACGGAGGCGCCCAAAGGUUCCCUCAGCCUGGUUGGCAAUCAGGUGGUGAGUGUAAGUGCACAAGGGAGCUUGACUGUGAGACCGACGGGUCGAGCAGGGACGAAAGUCGGGACUAGUGAUCCGGCGGUGGCUUGUGGAAGCGCCGUCGCUCAACGGAUAAAAGGUACCCCGGGGAUAACAGGCUGAUCUUCCCCAAGAGUCCAUAUCGACGGGAUGGUUUGGCACCUCGAUGUCGGCUCGUCGCAUCCUGGGGCUGGAGUCGGUCCCAAGGGUUGGGCUGUUCGCCCAUUAAAGCGGUACGCGAGCUGGGUUUAGAACGUCGUGAGACAGUUCGGUCCCUAUCCGCUGCGCGCGCAGGAAUAUUGAGAAGGGCUGUCCCUAGUACGAGAGGACCGGGACGGACGAACCUCUGGUGUGCCAGUUGUUCUGCCAAGGGCAUGGCUGGUUGGCUACGUUCGGGAGGGAUAACCGCUGAAAGCAUCUAAGCGGGAAGCCUGCUUCGAGAUGAGUAUUCCCACCCACUUGAUGGGGUAAGGCUCCCAGUAGACGACUGGGUUGAUAGGCCAGAUAUGGAAGCCCAGUAAUGGGUGGAGUUGACUGGUACUAAUAGGCCGAGGGCUUGUCCUC
rnacentral:rRNA from 1 species